CCGACGGUGAGAGAUGAAAGCUGGGGGAGCAAACCGGAUUAGAUACCCGGGUAGUCCCAGCUGUAAACUAUGCAAACUCAGUGAUGCAUUGGCUUGUGGCCAAUGCAGUGCUGCAGGGAAGCCGUUAAGUUUGCCGCCUGGGAAGUACGUACGCAAGUAUGAAACUUAAAGGAAUUGGCGGGGGAGCACCACAAGGGGUGAAGCCUGCGGUUCAAUUGGAGUCAACGCCAGAAAUCUUACCCGGAGAGACAGCAGAAUGAAGGUCAAGCUGAAGACUUUACCAGACAAGCUGAGAGGUGGUGCAUGGCCGUCGCCAGCUCGUGCCGUGAGAUGUCCUGUUAAGUCAGGUAACGAGCGAGAUCCCUGCCUCUAGUUGCCACCAUUACUCUCAGGAGUAGUGGGGCGAAUUAGCGGGACCGCCGCAGUUAAUGCGGAGGAAGGAAGGGGCCACGGCAGGUCAGUAUGCCCCGAAACUCUGGGGCCACACGCGGGCUGCAAUGGUAACGACAAUUGGUUUCGAAUCCGAAAGGAUGAGGUAAUCCUCAAACGUUACCACAGUUGUGAUUGAGGGCUGCAACUCGCCCUCAUGAACAUGGAAUCCCUAGUAACUGCGUGUCAUUAUCGCGCGGUGAAUACGUCCCUGCUCCUUGUACUCACCGCCCGU
rnacentral:rRNA from 1 species